rnacentral:rRNA from 1 species
GAUGAACGCUGGCGGCGUGCCUAAUACACGCAAGUCGAGCGAAUGGAUUAAGAGCUUGCUCUUAUGAAGUUAGCGGCGGACGGGUGAGUAACACGUGGGUAACCUGCCCAUAAGACUGGGAUAACUCCGGGAAACCGGGGCUAAUACCGGAUAACAUUUUGAACCGCAUGGUUCGAAAUUGAAAGGCGGCUUCGGCUGUCACUUAUGGAUGGACCCGCGUCGCAUUAGCUAGUUGGUGAGGUAACGGCUCACCAAGGCAACGAUGCGUAGCCGACCUGGGAGGGGGGACGGACACACUGGGACUGGGACCCGGCCCAAGCUCCUACGGGGAGCAGCAGUAGGGAAUCUUCCGCAAUGGACGAAAGUCUGACGGAGCAACGCCGCGUGAGUGAUGAAGGCUUUCGGGUCGUAAAACUCUGUUGUUAGGGAAGAACAAGUGCUAGUUUAAUAAGCUGGCACCUUGACGGUACCUAACCAGAAAGCCACGGCUAACUACGUGCCAGCCGCCGCAGUAA